UUUUUCUCUCGUUCCACGAGGACCUCACGGCGGAGAAAGAAGGUCGCUGUCUGCAGAUGUCGUCGGCGGUGAGAGGGAAAGCACGAGCGAGUCACCACCGCAGGGCGUCGGAAACAUUGUGGCUGUUGCUUCUUACCUGCAAACAAGCCUCGCCGGCGGUGAGAUUUAAGAAAUUAGGGUUCAGGGUGAGCAGGGACAACGUAAAUGCAGUGUUCUACGCAGAGACGUACCAUCCGAUCAAAGCAACAAGCAUCGACGGCACCGAUUUCAUCCCUCACGACAGCGCCGUCUAUCACGCCUAUCUUUGUUCCUCCGUUCCUCUCAAUCUUUCAUGACCCUCUCGGUGAUCCCAACCUCCUCGGCGGCUCUUACAGUCUUGCUGCACUCUCUUCGUCGCCCGCCGUUCUCACCAAUCCAUCGAACACCCUUCGCAAGGGUUUCUUUUCAUAUCUUUCUUUUGUUUGGUUCUUGAGAAAAUCUUUGCUCAUUUACUUAUGAUGAAAAAGGAAUAUAUUAAUCAGCAAAUAAAUUAAUUAAUUUAUUAGAGAAAUGUUUAUGGCGUUUGGAUGGAAUGGAUCGGGCUAUGAGAAAGCGUUGUCGAGGAAGAAUUUGCGCUUAGGCACAUCGAUGGAUGAGUGACCAUACAAGAAUGGAUCGCAUAAGGAAUAAAGUUAUUC